CCGAGUGCGGGUCCCCGCGGCCCAACCUCCCACCCUUGUCUCUAUACACCUGUUGCUUUGGCGGGCCCACUGGGGCCACCUGGUCGCCGGGGGACGCAUGUCCCCGGGCCCGCGCCCGCCGAAGCGCUCUGUGAACCCUGAUGAAGAUGGGCUGUCUGAGUACCAUGAAAAUUGUCA
rnacentral:misc_RNA from 1 species